GACGAACGCUGGCGGCGUGCUUAACACAUGCAAGUCGAACGGAAAGGCCCUGCUUUUGUGGGGUGCUCGAGUGGCGAACGGGUGAGUAACACGUGAGUAACCUGCCCUUGACUUUGGGAUAACUUCAGGAAACUGGGGCUAAUACCGGAUAGGAGCUCCUGCUGCAUGGUGGGGGUUGGAAAGUUUCGGCGGUUGGGGAUGGACUCGCGGCUUAUCAGCUUGUUGGUGGGGUAGUGGCUUACCAAGGCUUUGACGGGUAGCCGGCCUGAGAGGGUGACCGGCCACAUUGGGACUGAGAUACGGCCCAGACUCCUACGGGAGGCAGCAGUGGGGAAUCUUGCACAAUGGGCGGAAGCCUGAUGAAGCAACGCCGCGUGCGGGAUGACGGCCUUCGGGUUGUAAACCGCUUUCGCCUGUGACGAAGCGUGAGUGACGGUAAUGGGUAAAGAAGCACCGGCUAACUACGUG
rnacentral:rRNA from 1 species